GACCCUGUCUAUAGCCGCCGCCCUGGAAUCAGCACUCUCAGAAAGGUCGAUGACUAGGCCAAAGGAUCUUGGCCAGAGGGAAAAUGCAGUGCAGGGAAAUCAAGCAGCAGAUUCCAGGAUCCAAGAUGUUUCUGCCAGCAUCCUGAUGCUGCUUCCAGACUGACAAGGUCAGAACCCUGCUAAAGGACCAGGACUUGCUUUUCUGCUCAUCCCUGUUGGCCCUGGGAACAAGCAGAGGCCCAGGACAGAUGAAUCUCUGGUGUUGCAUACACUAGCCUUUCUCAAGAGGCUCUUUUCCAAGACAUCAUGUGAAACCCUGCUGUUUCUGGAUCAGAUAAAUCAACGAUAAUCUUUAACUCAGCGAGGGGCGAGUCAUGGGGGGUGUUCUCCUGCAUCCACGGUAUACUGCUAAAAUCAGAUUUCCUGGAGCCCAUUCACCAGAGGUUUUGAACUUGCCAGAUUGCUUGCUGGGCCUAAAAUACUGCGUGCCAUGUGGUGACCCUGGCUUGGCUGUUUCCAUGAGUUCUCUUUCCCUAAGUCACAACUGACACUUCCAAGUCACACAGAGGAAAAGAGCUCCAGACCCCACAUUUCCAUUAAUGGCCAUCGGCCAGGUCUGGCGUGUGCACUGUGCACUACUCUCUUCUGUGGUUGAGUCUGCCUUGGGGGGGGAGCAGAGAGAACUGAAGAAGACUGGGGGUGGGGAUGCACGUGCCUUCUGCAGUCCGAUUCCUAUUUCCCCUCCCCAUUUCUUCCUCCGCAGCAACUUUUGGCAUAAGGAUUUUUUUCUCCAAACUUACGGUAACUCGUUCAUCUGGUUAUGCUUUCCUUUAUUCAUCUGCUUAUGUAAGCUACACCAAUGGAGCCUUUGUUGUGAGGUAAAUGUGCGGGAGCCGUGAGAUUUAAACUCGGCAUAUAAAAUAAUGGAUUUC
rnacentral:lncRNA from 1 species